rnacentral:pre_miRNA from 1 species
UAUCUACUCUCUCCCUUCCAAAAUUCUUGUCUUACAUUUGUCUACAUAUGAAUGUAUCUAGUCAUGCUUUAGUAUUUAGAUAUAUCUAUUUUUAGACAAACCUAAGACAAAAAAUUUGAGACGGAGGGAGUAAUAU